rnacentral:lncRNA from 1 species
UUUUUCUUUUUAGUAUAAUGCAUGAGUCUGACGAGUCACCGAAUAUAGUAGAUCUUUAGUAUAAUCUAAUCUCCCCAUACCUUUUAGCCCCACCAAAAUUUUUUUGUUUUUUCUUUUUAGUAUAAUGCAUGAGUCUGACGAGUCACCGAAUAUAGUAGAUCUUUAGUAUAAUCUAAUCUCCCCAUACCUUUUAGCCCCACCAAAAUUUUU